UUGGUUUGCUUGCAAACCAAAGCUGGCGACCGGCGCACGGGUGAGUAACACGUAUCCAACCUGCCUCAUACUCGGGGAUAGCCUUUCGAAAGAAAGAUUAAUAUCCGAUAGCAUAUAUUUCCCGCAUGGGUUUUAUAUUAAAGAAAUUCGGUAUGAGAUGGGGAUGCGUUCCAUUAGUUUGUUGGCGGGGUAACGGCCCACCAAGACUACGAUGGAUAGGGGUUCUGAGAGGAAGGUCCCCCACAUUGGAACUGAGACACGGUCCAAACUCCUACGGGAGGCAGCAGUGAGGAAUAUUGGUCAAUGGACGCGAGUCUGAACCAGCCAAGUAGCGUGAAGGAUGACUGCCCUAUGGGUUGUAAACUUCUUUUAUAUGGGAAUAAAGUGGUCCACGUGUGGAUUUUUGUAUGUACCAUAUGAAUAAGGAUCGGCUAACUCCGUGCCAGCAGCCGCGGUAAUACGGAGGAUCCGAGCGUUAUCCGGAUUUAUUGGGUUUAAAGGGAGCGUAGGCGGAUUGUUAAGUCAGUUGUGAAAGUUUGCGGCUCAACCGUAAAAUUGCAGUUGAUACUGGCAGUCUUGAGUGCAGUAGAGGUGGGCGGA
rnacentral:rRNA from 1 species